CACACUAUCAUUAACUGAAUCCAUAGGUUAAUGAGGCGAACCGGGGGAACUGAAACAUCUAAGUACCCCGAGGAAAAGAAAUCAACCGAGAUUCCCCCAGUAGCGGCGAGCGAACGGGGAGGAGCCCAGAGCCUGAAUCAGUGUGUGUGUUAGUGGAAGCGUCUGGAAAGGCGCGCGAUACAGGGUGACAGCCCCGUACACAAAAAUGCACAUAUUGUGAGCUCGAUGAGUAGGGCGGGACACGUGGUAUCCUGUCUGAAUAUGGGGGGACCAUCCUCCAAGGCUAAAUACUCCUGACUGACCGAUAGUGAACCAGUACCGUGAGGGAAAGGCGAAAAGAACCCCGGCGAGGGGAGUGAAAAAGAACCUGAAACCGUGUACGUACAAGCAGUGGGAGCCUCUUAAUGGGGUGACUGCGUACCUUUUGUAUAAUGGGUCAGCGACUUAUAUUCUGUAGCAAGGUUAACCGAAUAGGGGAGCCGAAGGGAAACCGAGUCUUAACUGGGCGUUAAGUUGCAGGGUAUAGACCCGAAACCCGGUGAUCUAGCCAUGGGCAGGUUGAAGGUUGGGUAACACUAACUGGAGGACCGAACCGACUAAUGUUGAAAAAUUAGCGGAUGACUUGUGGCUGGGGGUGAAAGGCCAAUCAAACCGGGAGAUAGCUGGUUCUCCCCGAAAGCUAUUUAGGUAGCGCCUCGUGAAUUCAUCUCCGGGGGUAGAGCACUGUUUCGGCAAGGGGGUCAUCCCGACUUACCAACCCGAUGCAAACUGCGAAUACCGGAGAAUGUUAUCACGGGAGACACACGGCGGGUGCUAACGUCCGUCGUGAAGAGGGAAACAACCCAGACCGCCAGCUAAGGUCCCAAAGUCAUGGUUAAGUGGGAAACGAUGUGGGAAGGCCCAGACAGCCAGGAUGUUGGCUUAGAAGCAGCCAUCAUUUAAAGAAAGCGUAAUAGCUCACUGGUCGAGUCGGCCUGCGCGGAAGAUGUAACGGGGCUAAACCAUGCACCGAAGCUGCGGCAGCGACACUAUGUGUUGUUGGGUAGGGGAGCGUUCUGUAAGCCUGUGAAGGUGGCCUGUGAGGGUUGCUGGAGGUAUCAGAAGUGCGAAUGCUGACAUAAGUAACGAUAAAGCGGGUGAAAAGCCCGCUCGCCGGAAGACCAAGGGUUCCUGUCCAACGUUAAUCGGGGCAGGGUGAGUCGACCCCUAAGGCGAGGCCGAAAGGCGUAGUCGAUGGGAAACAGGUUAAUAUUCCUGUACUUGGUGUUACUGCGAAGGGGGGACGGAGAAGGCUAUGUUGGCCGGGCGACGGUUGUCCCGGUUUAAGCGUGUAGGCUGGUUUUCCAGGCAAAUCCGGAAAAUCAAGGCUGAGGCGUGAUGACGAGGCACUACGGUGCUGAAGCGACAAAUGCCCUGCUUCCAGGAAAAGCCUCUAAGCAUCAGGUAACAUCAAAUCGUACCCCAAACCGACACAGGUGGUCAGGUAGAGAAUACCAAGGCGCUUGAGAGAACUCGGGUGAAGGAACUAGGCAAAAUGGUGCCGUAACUUCGGGAGAAGGCACGCUGAUAUGUAGGUGAAGCGACUUGCUCGUGGAGCUGAAAUCAGUCGAAGAUACCAGCUGGCUGCAACUGUUUAUUAAAAACACAGCACUGUGCAAACACGAAAGUGGACGUAUACGGUGUGACGCCUGCCCGGUGCCGGAAGGUUAAUUGAUGGGGUUAGCGGUAACGCGAAGCUCUUGAUCGAAGCCCCGGUAAACGGCGGCCGUAACUAUAACGGUCCUAAGGUAGCGAAAUUCCUUGUCGGGUAAGUUCCGACCUGCACGAAUGGCGUAAUGAUGGCCAGGCUGUCUCCACCCGAGACUCAGUGAAAUUGAACUCGCUGUGAAGAUGCAGUGUACCCGCGGCAAGACGGAAAGACCCCGUGAACCUUUACUAUAGCUUGACACUGAACAUUGAGCCUUGAUGUGUAGGAUAGGUGGGAGGCUUUGAAGUGUGGACGCCAGUCUGCAUGGAGCCGACCUUGAAAUACCACCCUUUAAUGUUUGAUGUUCUAACGUGGGCCCCUUACCGGGGUUGCGGACAGUGUCUGGUGGGUAGUUUGACUGGGGCGGUCUCCUCCUAAAGAGUAACGGAGGAGCACGAAGGUUGGCUAAUCCUGGUCGGACAUCAGGAGGUUAGUGCAAUGGCAUAAGCCAGCUUGACUGCGAGCGUGACGGCGCGAGCAGGUGCGAAAGCAGGUCAUAGUGAUCCGGUGGUUCUGAAUGGAAGGGCCAUCGCUCAACGGAUAAAAGGUACUCCGGGGAUAACAGGCUGAUACCGCCCAAGAGUUCAUAUCGACGGCGGUGUUUGGCACCUCGAUGUCGGCUCAUCACAUCCUGGGGCUGAAGUAGGUCCCAAGGGUAUGGCUGUUCGCCAUUUAAAGUGGUACGCGAGCUGGGUUUAGAACGUCGUGAGACAGUUCGGUCCCUAUCUGCCGUGGGCGCUGGAGAACUGAGGGGGGCUGCUCCUAGUACGAGAGGACCGGAGUGGACGCAUCACUGGUGUUCGGGUUGUCAUGCCAAUGGCACUGCCCGGUAGCUAAAUGCGGAAGAGAUAAGUGCUGAAAGCAUCUAAGCACGAAACUUGCCCCGAGAUGAGUUCUCCCUGACUCCUUGAGAGUCCUGAAGGAACGUUGAAGACGACGACGUUGAUAGGCCGGGUGUGUAAGCGCAGCGAUGCGUUGAGCUAACCGGUACUAAUGAACCGUGAGGCUUAACCUUACAACGCCGAAG
rnacentral:rRNA from 1 species